UACGGGGGGGGCAAGCGUUGUUCGGAAUUACGGGGCGUAAAGGGUUUGUAGGUGGCUUGUUAAGUCAGACGUGAAAUCCCUCAGCUUAACUGGGGAACUGCGUCUGAUACUGGCGAGCUUGAGUGCAGGAGAGGAACGCGGAAUUCCAGGUGUAGCGGUGAAAUGCGUAGAUAUCUGGAGGAACACCGGUGGCGAAGGCGGCGUUCUGGACUGCAACUGACACUGAGAAACGAAAGCCAGGGUAGCAAACGGG
rnacentral:rRNA from 1 species